GAUGAACGCUGGCGGUAUGCCUAACACAUGCAAGUCGAACGAGCUCUUCGGAGCUAGUGGCGGGCGGGUGAGUAACGCGUGAGAAUCUGCCUUCAGGAUGGGGACAACAGUUGGAAACGAUUGCUAAAACCCAAUGUGCCGCAAGGUGAAAUAUUAAUAGCCUGAAGAGGAGCUCGCGUCCGAUUAGUUAGUUGGUGGGGUAAAGGCCUACCAAGGCAGCGAUCGGUAGCUGGUCUGAGAGGAUGAGCAGCCACACUGGGACUGAGACACGGCCCAGACUCCUACGGGAGGCAGCAGUGGGGAAUUUUCCGCAAUGGGCGAAAGCCUGGCGGAGCAAUACCGCGUGAGGGAGGAAGGUUUUUGGAUUGUAAACCUCUUUUGUUAAGGAAGAAGAAAGUGACGGUACUUAACGAAUAAGCAUCGGCUAACUCCGUGCCAGCCGCCGCGGUAA
rnacentral:rRNA from 1 species